rnacentral:rRNA from 1 species
GACGAACCGUGCGAACGUUGUUCGGAAUCACUGGGCUUAAAGGGCGCGUAGGCGGGCACGCAAGUCAGGGGUGAAAUCCCCGGGCUCAACCCGGGAACUGCGUCCGAUACUGGCAGGCUUGAAUUCGGGAGAGGGAUGUGGAAUUCCAGGUGUAGCGGUGAAAUGCGUAGAUAUCUGGAGGAACACCGGUGGCGAAGGCGGCAUCCUGGACCGAUAUUGACGCUGAUGCGCGAAAGCCAGGGGAGCAAACGGG